rnacentral:rRNA from 1 species
AUUGAACGCUGGCGGCAGGCCUAACACAUGCAAGUCGAACGGUAACAGGAAGAAGCUUGCUUCUUUGCUGACGAGUGGCGGACGGGUGAGUAAUGUCUGGGAAACUGCCUGAUGGAGGGGGAUAACUACUGGAAACGGUAGCUAAUACCGCAUAACGUCGCAAGACCAAAGAGGGGGACCUUCGGGCCUCUUGCCAUCGGAUGUGCCCAGAUGGGAUUAGCUAGUAGGUGGGGUAACGGCUCACCUAGGCGACGAUCCCUAGCUGGUCUGAGAGGAUGACCAGCCACACUGGAACUGAGACACGGUCCAGACUCCUACGGGAGGCAGCAGUGGGGAAUAUUGCACAAUGGGCGCAAGCCUGAUGCAGCCAUGCCGCGUGUAUGAAGAAGGCCUUCGGGUUGUAAAGUACUUUCAGCGGGGAGGAAGGGAGUAAAGUUAAUACCUUUGCUCAUUGACGUUACCCGCAGAAGUAGCACCGGCUAACUCCGUG